ACUCAUCACAUCGAGUCUAAAAGUCAUUUAAGCUGUGAGCGUUGGGAGGUCACACUCCCAUGUAUGA
rnacentral:ribozyme from 1 species